GUGUACCCGCGGCAAGACGGAAAGACCCCGUGAACCUUUACUAUAGCUUGACACUGAACAUUGAGCCUUGAUGUGUAGGAUAGGUGGGAGGCUUUGAAGCGUGGACGCCAGUCUGCGUGGAGCCGACCUUGAAAUACCACCCUUUAAUGUUUGAUGUUCUAACGUGGACCCGUUACCCGGGUUGCGGACAGUGUCUGGUGGGUAGUUUGACUGGGGCGGUCUCCUCCUAAAGAGUAACGGAGGAGCACGAAGGUUGGCUAAUCCUGGUCGGACAUCAGGAGGUUAGUGCAAUGGCAUAAGCCAGCUUGACUGCGAGCGUGACGGCGCGAGCAGGUGCGAAAGCAGGUCAUAGUGAUCCGGUGGUUCUGAAUGGAAGGGCCAUCGCUCAACGGAUAAAAGGUACUCCGGGGAUAACAGGCUGAUACCGCCCAAGAGUUCAUAUCGACGGCGGUGUUUGGCACCUCGAUGUCGGCUCAUCACAUCCUGGGGCUGAAGUAGGUCCCAAGGGUAUGGCUGUUCGCCAUUUAAAGUGGUACGCGAGCUGGGUUUAGAACGUCGUGAGACAGUUCGGUCCCUAUCUGCCGUGGGCGCUGGAGAACUGAGGGGGGCUGCUCCUAGUACGAGAGGACCGGAGUGGACGCAUCACUGGUGUUCGGGUUGUCAUGCCAAUGGCACUGCCCGGUAGCUAAAUGCGGAAGAGAUAAGUGCUGAAAGCAUCUAAGCACGAAACUUGCCCCGA
rnacentral:rRNA from 1 species